AGGUUCUCAGAAAGUGCCAUCUUGCUGAAAUAGUACAGCAAGAUCCAAGACUUCUUGAUGCACCAGUAGCCGAGAACGGAGAAAACUGGAGUGUUGGACAGAGACAACUAGUUUGCCUAGCUAGGCUGCUACUGAAGAAAAGAAAAAUCUUGGUCCUAGACGAGGCAACUGCGUCCAUCGACACUGCAACGGAUAACUUAAUUUAGAAGACUAUAAGAGAAGAAACAAGUGGAUGCACAGUCAUUACAGUAGCACAUAGAAUUCCUACAGUCAUUGACACUGAUUUGGUUUUGGUCCUUAAUGAAGGGACAAUUGCGGAGUAUGAUAAGCCGUCUCAAUUGCUACAAGACAAUUUUUCUUCGUUCUCGAGGUUGGUUUCGGGGUUUUUGAGGAGAUCGUCGCAAAGUAAUUGCUAACAAUGAUAAGAAAAUGAGGACAAACAGAAGGGAUAGCAUAGGAUAGCAUAGCAGUAACAGAAUAUCAUACAAGACAUUCUGAUUUCACAAGCUUACAUGAGUUUCUAAUCUAACUUAGAUUUUCCUUUUCAAAUUAUUUCCAGUCCACCAUACAAUAAGUGUUACAUUCAAAAUUGUUGAUGAUAGUUAAAAAUCCAUAAAUGCAUUACACC